AUCUAGUAACAGCUUAUCUAUGAAUAAAAAUCCUUAAAACUGACACUAGAACAGGCACAAAUCCCCUUUUUGAGACCACAUGGCAAAAAAUGCGGGAAAACUGCCCACGCGGCCCAAACGGACCCUCGCACAUUGCAACAGGCACGGAUUUGACUUGUUUGGUUUGGGCCAGAACCAGGAUGCACCAAAAAAAAGUUUUGCGCGCCUCGGACAAACGUAAGCCGAACAGCAGCCAAAAAGAGGGUCAAAUCUAGUUCAGGCUCCAUUUCGGGCCUUUAGCUCUUGCAUGUAGGGAUUUUUCGACCCACCUUCCAUCGUCCAAUUAUGAUGAAAUGUAGUGAGCACUUACAACUUAUCAGUAGCGACUUUCACCAAUAUUUCCAGAUUUUUAUCUUAUUCAGGGGCCGAUCUAUUACCUGAAAAAUGCCAAAAAAUUAAUUUUGGCCUACGUUUCUGUCUUUUAAAUGAGCCUAAAAUGAAAAAGGCCUAAAAAUGUUUUGUGACCUUUAACCUUUCUGAAUGGCCUAACAGCCUAUAAAAUGGGGAGGUCCAACCAGAGGGUCACCUGAAGCUACAGUAAAAAUUUCAAGGUUAAUCAGAAGCCGAGUUUCAGCGGCUGAAUAUUAAAGGCACGCCUUAAUGAGGUUCACCUUUGUCCUAGUUACAAAGCAAACAAGCAGGGGAAAGGGGCGCUUAACCCUUCAAUUUGGCCUAAGUUUUAGUCUUUUUAAAGCAGCCCUAAAUGAAGAUGCUGUUUGGGAUACCUUUUAACAGUCAAAACUUGGCUUCAUUUUGAGUUGCUUUCUCUCGUAGUCCAGAAUGAAGAUGCACUUUUUAAAAAACAAUGCUUUUUAAUUACUUAAAAUUGCUUCUUUAUUCGUAGGGACAUGACUUUCAGAUACAGUAUGUUUUAAAGAAAGACGUGCCGAUUCAUAAUAUGUUGAUUGCACUGCCCAACAUUGCUCCCAGACCAAGUUAGCCUCCUAAAGGACGUGGACCAAGUUUUCUUUCACUUUGUGGUAUGGGGGGUUAGUGUGAGCGUGAAAAUCCACUCUCCUCCUCAAUGGCACGCAUGGCACCAAAGGUAUGCCACCUCCUAACAGUGAAAAGUGCGGGUUUUGCGGGGCUAUAUCUUGGAAACCACAACAGAUUUUGGCAUGCAACUACCCCAGGUGGACUUUUCCCAGGCUCCCGAUCAACAUACUAAAAGAUGGGGCCACUGCCACAAGCAGAAUUUUUUUUUCUACUUUGGACCAACUGAAUAAUCAGGUCUUUUUUGGAGCUAUGUGUCCAAGACCCUAUUUUGUGGCUGAAAUCAGACAUAGGACUUUUUUUCUGGGGGGUUUCUGGGAAUUUGACACUGAAUUCUGAUUGUGCGGCCCCAUGGAGACAUACCUUCUGAAAAUGGGGCCAACCAUUGAGGAGUAAUCGCAAUAAAAGAGAAUGACCCCAGUCACCUGCCGGUCAAGUGCCCACAAGGCCAAAAGAGCACUCAAAUGACAAGCUACGGCUACAAAAUUGCCAGGGCUUGCUUGGGGUGGCGCCUGCAUGCAGAAUCAGUGUUUGUUUGGUGAAAAUCGGUUGAAAAAAAUGCAACAUUUGAGACCACAUGGCAAAAAAGGCGGGAAAACUGCCCACACGACCCAAACGGACCCUUAAAGGGUUACGACCAGCACGACUUUGACGUGUAUGGUUUGGGCCAGAACCGGGAUUCCCCCAAAAAAGUUUUGUGCACCUCGGACAAACGUAAGCCGAACAGCAGCCAAAAAGGAGGUCAAAUCUAGUUCAGGCUCCAUUUCGGGCCUUUAGCUUUUGCUUGUAGGGAUUUUUUUGACCCACUUCCCUUUCUCCAAUCGGGAUGAAACGUUGUGAGCACUUACAAAUUAUCAUUACAGUCUUGUCAGUAUGAAAUUGCUGGUGGCCGCCACAUCAAUACAUUUAUCUUUGGCUUCAAUUUUUUCAUUUUAGUCUACAUGGUGUUUUACCGUGUUGCUACAUGUGGAGGAAGUCUAUUAAUAAUUUCAUCAAAGAGUUUGCAUAUAUUAUUACUUUAAAUGUACAGGUAGUGUUUCAUGUGUAUAUUUUAAUAGUCUUCACAAUAUUUAAUCAAUUUUCUUAACUACAUCAUUCUCACUAGUGUGGCAGGGCGAGAGAAACCCUGGACAAGCCUCGGUCCAUCACAGAGACACACCCUGGGAUAAACAACCAGUCACUUAAUCACUCAUAACUAGGGACAAUUUAGAUUCACCAGUUACCUUGAUUGAUGUGCAUGUUUUUGGUCUGUGGAAAGAAACCAGCGCUUACAUAGGGAAAACAUGCUACCUCCACACAAAAAGGCCACGCAAGCUGGAUUGAAACAGGUGGCCUAUUUGCUAUAAGGCAACAUUCCUACUAAUUACACCACCAUCAAGCCCCACAAUAAUUAAUUAUGAUGAAAGUCCAAGUCUGAAGUUAAAGAACUUAUAUCAAAUAAAAACUUAGACAUAGAAUUGACCGACAGGUAAUUAAAUAUUUAACUCAAAUUUAGUCCUGUACCCUGUUCUCCCAUUUGCUAAGUUUAAUGUGAGCUUAAAAAUAAAAGCAUGUAAAAGAAGGUAUUUAAAAAAAAUUGGUUUCAGAUAAAAAAACAAACAGUAAACCAAUCAUUUAAAUUUUUUCUGUCUCUAUUUCCAGUUGAAAAUGUAAAGAACAUAUUACGAAGGGGAAUGUUUUUUUCUACAGGGUCAAGUCAUGAACAUUGAGGCAGGGUGAGGGAGAGGUGGCCCUUUUCAAUCCAAACUCUGUUCUGUACAGGCUGUUUCUCUUGAGUUCAGAGGCACUAAUCAACAAGGAGUCAGGGUGGGGGAUGGGUGGCAUUAAACAGUGGACUGGCUAACUCUGAAACCUCUGCUGCAUUCAAGGAAAAUGUGUAACUACCAGUACACUAGUUACACAACAUAAAAUCUGAUCGCUGUCGUUUUAAAUAUAAAUUUCACACUGUUAAAAAGUGCAUAACAACUUCCUUUAAAAGUCAUUACAUUAGCAAUUUUUCAAAAUAAAUAUUUUAAUCCAUUAAAACUUAAAGAUCUGCAGGCAGUUGUCAACUUUCCCAGUGCUCCUGAAAGCAACAUCAGUGCACGACCACUGAGGGGAUUCACGCAGCUGCAGAGCAUCUGAGAAGCAGAAGGAAACAGUUUUAAUGUUUGGAACCAGAAAAAAGUCUGCAACUAAACCAGGGCAUGUUGUGAUCUGUGGGGGAAACCGGAGUACCCGGAGAAAACCCACGCAUGCAUGGGGAGAACACGCAACUCCACGCAGAAAGAUAAUGAGCUGAAUGAAGAAGAACAGGAAGAGAUAAUGGAGCUUUCUGCUUCAGAGGACUUUCUCUCAGACUCCAGCUAUGAUUUGGACAGUGAUUAUAUCCCAUUAGCUCCUCCUUCCUCAGAGGAUGAGCUAACCUCUUCACAGUCUAAGCUCAUGAAGACACAUGAUGCUUUAAAAAACCCUGGCAAAACCUCUCUCAGCCAAAGCUAUGUUCAUGAACAGAAGACACUGAUGGACAGUGGUAAAAGUAAUGAAGCUCUGGACAAGGAUUACAAUGCAGAUACUGAGGAAGAAAAUCCGGAGGAAUAUGAAGAUGAUGAGGUUGCUUUGUCUGGAAAAGAACCUACACACGCACCACGAGUCAGUCAAAGUGAUUCCGAAGUCCAACCUGAGGAUGCAUCUGAGCAGGCUGAUGAUUCAGACGAACCUGACAUUCUGACUCAGAGGCCCACAAGAGCAGAACCAUCAGAUGAUCACAGACAGACAGCAGGAAAAAGAGAUAAACUUUUGCUUGGCUAAAGUACCUAAUGAUCAUAAGGUCACACUUGAUUUUACAACUGUUUUUCUUCUCUUUGAAGGGACCCACAGAGGAAAAGGGCCAAGGAAGAAGGUUGAACCAGCUGAAGAUUCAGAUGAUCAGGUAGAACUGCUGAGCCAGAGCUCAAAAUAUGCAGAACCAUCAGAGGACAUCAAGAAGAAAUAUAAGAUAGAUCCGCCCCCCAAAGAUGUGUAGGAGAUGGAAGGAGCUCCAAGUCUUAGAGAUCCAGGAGCUGUCCCAGAGCACAGGGACCCUAGGGAGACUGCGACCCGAAAAGCCCCUGCCCGAAUAGCACGAUUGUGCUUUUAGCCAAAUUUCCCCUUUUAAAGAACAUAACAUGUGCACCCACUCACACUAGGCGCACAAACAGACCUCUUUUCCUUUCAACUUUCAUACAAUCACCAACUAUGCAUAUAGAUCUAUAUCUUAAAUAUUACCACCCAAAUGAUAAGAAUCUAAACACACACACACACACACACACACACACACACACACACACACACACACACACACACACACACACACAGAGCGGCCUGACGUGUUUCUGUCACACAAAAGCAACCUGCACUUAGGCAGAAGGGGGAGGAAACCCAAAACUGAAGGAGGAGGGAAUGAUAACAGAUAUCAGAAGCAGAAAAAGAACAAAAUAGGUGCAGGUGCUGACCUCCAGAGUUGUUCACAUAUGUUCUUAUCUGUGUGUAAUUUCUCCUCUGCAAAUUCUUAUCUUCUUAUCGCAGAGUGGCUGGUGGACUGAAGUCUGCUAAUCAAACUGUGACUUUGGGGACUAAAUUACAUCAAUCAGAGUCUGUAAGAGAACAAAGUACUUUUAGAAGUUCAAAACUGGUGAAAUUACACAAAUCAAUUUUAUAAGUUACCAAAGAUUGUUAGAUGAAGAACUGAAACUAGCAUUGUUCCAACGCGUUUCUUUAUUGUUCAUUUUCACGCAAUCAUAUUACUCAAAAUAGAUAUACUAUUAAAUGUCCUUUACAUUAUUUUAUUACAUAUUUUUUCAGUUAGUCAGAUGAACAUUUAUAAUUUGAUUUCACUAUUAAAAAAGAAACAAUAUUUGUUUCUUCAUCUCCUCUUUUUUUUACCACUCAGAGCUGAAAAAAGGAUCUGUUCUGAGACCCGUCCGCUUCUCUGCAGCAGGAGGCGUCCCACAGGGAACCGUCCUGGUUACCUUUAUCUUUCUUUACCCUCCACACUACAGAUGUCAUCAUUAACUGAGCUAACCUAAACUGACUGAAACUUUAUAAAGACGUUAAUCAAAAAUAGUAAAGACUUCUGGUGCAUUACAUCUAAAUAUAUAAUACCUUUGACAUUAAUAUGUUUUAUUGGUGUUUUUUAUUUACAGGCAGCAACUAACUUUUAUUACUUUCCUAAUAUGUUGUAUCUAUAUUACAGUAAAGUGUUUAGCAUACUUUAUUUAUUUUUUAGGAUUAUUUAAUGGUAUAUAUUUUAUGUUAUAUAAAAACAUGCAACGCGUGCAACAGUAAAAUCCAUAAAAUUGAAGAAAAGAGACAUUUAUCAAAUCAGAUUUUAUAAUCUUUUCUGUUUGAAUUUCCAAGACAAGGAAGUAAAGUGAAUCAUUAUCUUCUAAAGAAAAAGAUGUUGUGUGUUUGGGUUGUUGUGCAAAGUUGAAUAAAAACAGAAUUUUUGGAGAUGCAUAGUCACUUAUAGUUAAAUCAGUCCUUAAAUUAGUGAUUUCAAUUAACCUUGAGUUAAUGCAACUUUAAAUUGUUUUCACCUGCCAGUAGGAAAACUGAAACAGUGUACAGAGCUCUGAUGCAUAAACAUUUGCUGCUGUUUCUUAAAAUCAGAGCGAUCGGCAUAAAAAUGCAGCUGACAGCGUCUAAACAAAAUUAUAACUGCUGGAGAGGGCUGCCUAAGCUGCAUGGUCACUUGUAACUGAAUCUGUGUGUGUGUGUGUGUGUGUGUGUGUGUGUGUGUGUGUGUGUGUGUGUGUGUGUGUGUGUGUGUGUGUGUGUGUGAGCCAAUCCAGCAUGAGCAGUAAACCAAAUCAGAGUCAAAAUGACUAUUGAAGAAUCCAUGUCAUGUUUGUAGAACACCGCUUCGCUAAGGUCCUCCAAAAGUAGACUUUUUGUUCCCCAAAUGCCAUUUUCUGGAUUUUACAUGAAUAAAUCACCUGGAAAAUCAAGCGUGCUAAAUCAAUCAAUAAACAGCAAAAAAAAAGAAAAAAAAGAAAAAAGCAUAAAUAAGAUUAAAAUUGGUCCAGUAGCAUUGGUGUGUUGUGUGAUGAACACGUGGUGUGAUAAUACGCCAAAUAUUAUACAAAAGUAAUCAAGUAAUCCUGGAUGGUAACAGAACAACAACAAACAGCUACAGCUCCCAUAUUCCAGGCAGAAUGGGUACAGCUCCUCGGAUGAGAAGCUGAGUCUUCAAGAAACCAAAGAAGUCCAGUUGCCUUCUUUCGGACCCCUUGGAGAACAACCAGAUUCUAACUCCUGUGAAUUUUACCGUUGUGGUCACAUGACCACAUGUGACGGGUCAUUAGGGGUCAAGUGGGGUCACGAGUAGUAUCCCGACAUCCUGCCAGUCUAAUCACCUGUUUAUUUAUUUAACGGCUGAAGUCUGCUCUACUCUGACUGAAGUAGAAGGAAAGUGAAAGUGGAGGAGGGGAUGAAUCCUAGCGCAGUCUGAUUGAUCUCAGGUUGGACUCAAAAUGUGUUUGAUUUCAUUUUAAAAUGGUUUCCCCUUUUGAAUCUGUAGUUUAAAGACUAAUAUUGAUGCAGACAGGUGAUGGAUUCUGGAAUAAAUUGAGGUUAUCAGAUAUAUUAUAACUGACCUGAUGAUUUAGAGUUUAUGGUCACUUCUAUGAUUUAUCUUUGGCCAUCUGUGAGACAGGUUGCCAAGGCCAUCUGCAGAUAUUGUAAAGCUGCAGAGAAGCUAAGGGAACAGAGUAACAGCGAGGAGCCAUGUAGGCGACCACAGUAACAAGAAUGUCUUGAGUGAGGAACAGGAGGAACUUGUAGCCAAGUAGUACAAGGCAGUCUGAAGUUCUCACAGACACACCGGGAAGCAGCGCAAAAUCAGAAAUCAAGUAUCAGGGUCAAAAGAAGAAAGUGACAAAAGGCCUAAGACUGAUGACACAGGAGAUGCCAACUCUUCAGAUAAUGAAAAUAUCUGCAUUGUGAGUUUAGAGCACUUUGAAAACUCACAGCCAAGAGAAGCGUGGAUCAAAUGUCAACGUUUUAGAUUCUGGGUCCAUGAAGCCCACAACCCAUUAAAGUGUUUCUGUACAUUUAUUA